rnacentral:rRNA from 1 species
CCUACGGGUGGCAGCAGUGGGGAAUAUUGCACAAUGGGCGCAAGCCUGAUGCAGCCAUGCCGCGUGUGUGAAGAAGGCCUUCGGGUUGUAAAGCACUUUCAGCGGGGAGGAAGGCGGUGAGGUUAAUAACCUCAUCGAUUGACGUUACCCGCAGAAGAAGCACCGGCUAACUCCGUGCCAGCAGCCGCGGUAAUACGGAGGGUGCAAGCGUUAAUCGGAAUUACUGGGCGUAAAGCGCACGCAGGCGGUCUGUCAAGUCGGAUGUGAAAUCCCCGGGCUCAACCUGGGAACUGCAUUCGAAACUGGCAGGCUAGAGUCUUGUAGAGGGGGGUAGAAUUCCAGGUGUAGCGGUGAAAUGCGUAGAGAUCUGGAGGAAUACCGGUGGCGAAGGCGGCCCCCCGGACAAAGACUGACGCUCAGGUGCGAAAGCGUGGGGAGCAAACAGGAUUAGAUACCCCAGUAGUC